rnacentral:rRNA from 1 species
AAGCCAUGCAUGUCUAAGUAUAAACGAUUUAAUCGUGAAACCGCGAAUGGCUCAUUAUAACAGCUAUAAUUUACUUGAUCUUGACACAAUCCUACUUGGAUAACUGUGGUAAUUCUAGAGCUAAUACAUGCAUUAAAGCUCUGACCUCACGGGAAGAGUGCAUUUAUUAGAACAAAACCAAGCGGCUUCGGCUGUUUCUGGUUGACUCAUAGUAACUGAGCUGAUCGCAUGGUCUUGCACCGGCGACGUGUCUUUCAAGUAUCUGCCGUAUCAACUUUCGAUGGUAGUGUAUCUGACUACCAUGGUGAUCACGCGUAACGGAGAAUAAGGGUUCGGCUCCGGAGAGUUCGCCUGAGAAAUCGCGAACACAUCUAAGGAAGGCAGCAGGCGCGAAAAUUACCCACUCUCAGCACGAGGAGGUAGUGACGAAAAAUAACGAGACCGUUCUCUUAUGAGGCCGGUCAUCGGAAUGGGUACAAUUUAAACCCUUAACG